CCUGAUGCAGCGACGCCGCGUGGGGGAUGACGGCCUUCGGGUUGUAAACUCCUUUCACCAUCGACGAAGGGUUUCUGACGGUAGAUGGAGAAGAAGCACCGGCUAACUACGUGCCAGCAGCCGCGGUAAUACGUAGGGUGCGAGCGUUGUCCGGAAUUACUGGGCGUAAAGAGCUCGUAGGUGGUUUGUCGCGUCGUCUGUGAAAUUCCGGGGCUUAACUCCGGGCGUGCAGGCGAUACGGGCAUAACUUGAGUACUGUAGGGGAGACUGGAAUUCCUGGU
rnacentral:rRNA from 1 species